UUGUUGCCUUGAUAUCAGGCGAAGUCCCACUGCGAAGACCCCGCGCCCGGCCAGCUGCUUUUCCCGUCACUCCUCUGAAUGCCAGAGACAAAGAAACAGGCUGAGAAGAGUCAAAGCCUUCGAUCUGGGAAUGAUUUCUUCCCUUCAAAUGUCUGUACAGGCAGCAAACAGGCCUUGUGCUCCAAAACUGGGGCACAGGUAUACGUCAUACGUCUUUUCUGUGAUUUUUUUUUUUUUUCUUUUACUUUUCUUGCUAGGAAGUCUCAUCAUUGCUGAGAGCAAGGAGGUGAUGGAAAGAACAGGGUGAAUGGGAAGGUCUGGGCAGCAGUGAUGGGGUGUUGCUCUUCAUAGCAGCCCUUGCCCUGAACCCAACCCAUGCUCAAAAUCUGAAAUCAUCCAUCGUGAGAUCAGGAAAAAAGUCAUCCCAAGCAGUUUAUUUGCUGAGGAACUGUCCUGAUGUACAGCUGGGGGUACUUGCUUUGCACCGGUGCAGGAUCUCGCUUGUUAUUUCAGUGUCAGUGCAGGAGUUAAGUGGAAGUGUGAGAGUGAUGGAUGCUCAGGGACAGGGGAGCCUGACAGGCUGCAAACUCUGUGCAGACUCGGAGAAUUGCUGGCUAACAGCUUUCAAGGCUGCAAAUGAGCUUCCCAAAUUAUUAGAGCUGGAGAACAGGAUACCUUUAAAACAACCAAUCUGUCACGAGACAUAUCCUGUAUCUGUCAGAGGCCAGCGUGACUCCGUUGGGGGAAUCCGUGACAAAAAUCUAGGGAGAGCUGUAAAAAAUGCAUGUUGAUGUAGUUGUUUUGACAUGACAUUUCUUUUUAGGCAGCCUUAAGUGAUAUCUGCUGCCACUGGAGAUAGCACGUGCCAUCUCUGCUAACCAGCAUCUCCGCGGUGGCUCUCACUGCUGCUGAGAAAGCAGGAUUGUCCCGCAGUCUUGCAGAAGGAGAGAAGACGUGUCCAAGGUGCAGACGCUGUCAGUGCAGUGCUCGGUGGCAGACCUCAGACAGCCCAGACCCCCAGGAACAUGGCUGGGUUGCUUCAUCUCUGUGUACUCCAGUUCCUCGCCUGUGGAAGAGGGAUUAUAGCAGCGCUGACCCUUCCCGGACACCUGUGAGCACAGGUCUGUCGAUGGCUGGGGAUGCACAGGUAGAUUCACUGCAGGGUGAUCCUCAUGUGGUAUUAAUAGCUGAUGCCACCGCCAAGACCCAGGUCCCACGUCAAGACCUUGGGCACAUUUUGGGUACUUGAAGGUAGAUGCCUGGUGCCAUUUAGGUGCCUUGCAGGACCUCACCUGGCCUCCAGCUGCUCUUCCAGCAGGCUCAGGUGUCCCGUAGAUCCUGGCAGCCCCAUGGUUUGCCCUGAGACCCCACAGCAUCUCACGUGGCACCAGACAGAUACCUCUGUUUAGGGCCCUGAAUCCCACCCUUGCUCCCCUGGACAGUGGGUCGCACCCAGUGGUGACCGCUGCCCUUGGGUCUCGUUGGUGGCCACCUUCAUGCCAUGGGCUGACGGGGGCCACCGUUGACAGCACCAGCACUGGGGUUGACUGUGUAGGCUUUCCCGCACCUGGGAAGUUGGGCCUAUUCCCAGCACCACUGCUUAUGUCAGCUGCUACGGACAGAAUGAUUUAUGGACACAUUAUUAAAACCAUAUUUUCAGCCUCAGAGCAUGAGGGAACCGGUGGGUGGUACUGGAGGCAACAUGCCCGGGGAGGAUGGGGGUGCUCCUCAGACCACCUGGCUUCUCAACAGAGAUGAAGAGCAACAAGUUUGGGUAACAGGCUGGCCCAAACCACCGGAGAGGAGAUGCUGGAGCAGGUCUAGCCUCGCUCAGGAGGAAAAGAUUAGCCAGGAAACAUCUCCCACCUCCUCCCGCCCUUAAUGUCAUUCAUCAACUGCUUCUGCUCUCCAUCACUGUCAGGCACUGAAUUUCUGCACGUGGAUGGGCUGCUCAGAGACAGGGGAGAUGGUAACACGGUGUGGGGUGAGGGAAGCAGAUGCAAAUGAUGGUGAACUGAUCCAACUAUACGCUUUCUGCAAGGGCACACCAUAUCGGAGUUACUGACGUGCCCAACCUGCCGGUGAGCAGCGGGGUACACUUGGCAUCUGGAGGGCUCUUCUCAGAUAAGCUCAUCACGGUUUCCAAGCAAAUAUGUGGAAAACAUUUGCAGGGCACCUGCUCCCCCACCCUCACACCUGGAGACCUUCUGCCUUCACCUCUUUGAAUGAUCAGCUGCGCUCACUCAUCGCCUCUGGGACCUGGCCCUGCUCCUCCAGACCCGUUCAUCACACCAUGCCAGAUGGGUCCCUCCUGCCUUUUAAGCAGACGAGAGCACCAUAUGAUUUCAUGGCCGUGCCGGCACGGCGUGCACCUGCCUGGAAAGUGCUCGAGCACUUCUGGUGCCGGGUGCGUGACAUAAAUCUGUGGAUCUUGGUUCCUGCAUGUCCUCGUGGGACUCCUAGAGAUAUCGGUGUGCUCCAGUGAUACCAGGUAUUUGCUCUCCAGCCCCGGUGCUUUACCAGCCCACCAGAACAAAUCCCAGUUGCCUACCCUCCAGUCCAAAGUCCCCGAGUUCAGAGAAGUGAGGACACACCAGAUGGUCUGGCACGGCCCAGUGAUGGGAGCCAGGCUGGGGAGAGCAGGGCGAAGGCUGGAUAAAGCUCAUGGAGAUGGCUGGUUUGCUACCUUGAACUUGUUGGGGCUUUUUCUUAUUGCUAACAUCUGUGGUAGGGCAAGAGGUGUGCGAGGAUCUACCUGUCCGUGGGCUGCAGAGUGGAGGUGACCUUUCCACGGGCCAGCACCGAGCAGCUCGGAGAGAGCGGGGCUGUGCGACUGCUGAAAUGGCCUGGCAGGAGGUCUUUAAAUUGCUCGAUGGCUCUGUACUGAAAAGCAAUACCUGCUGAGAUUAAACCGUUUGGCCUCCUUCCCCCUGUCUCCAAGGCAAACAUAGACAGUUCUAUUCAUACCCACAAGAAAUACAUAUUUCAGCAUUUGAUUCUUUUUGUGUGUGCUUUGUUUUAUCUAGCGCCAUGGAGCUUGGAUGUCUUUUUCAUCUCAUAUUGUGCUUUGGAUGCAGCCUCUUUUAUUCAGCCCUCUUGCUGCCUUCAUAAAGAAUAACAGCGGCAGUUGUUGUUUUUUCCCCUGGAGCAUGGGCUGCUGUAAACCAAAGGGAAACUUCUUGCUGAAAGAGGAGAGAGCAGGCAGGACACUGCCGUAUCCAUUUCCACACCAGAGCUGCAGCCCUGCAGGCCACGCCGUUUGGCUUUCUCAAGCCUUCAUGGAGAGCAACAAAUUGUCCUAUAAAAAUUCUUUUCUUGAAUUUUAUUUUUCUAAGGAGACAGGGCCAACUUGUAAACUUGGGACUAAAAUCUCCUACUUCUUAAAUGGACAGCAAAGUCCAAGAUAGAAGCCGUGGCACUAAAAUGUAACAGGGUCUACGGAUUCUGCCUCUCUCUCUCCCUAAAUUUGCAUCUGAAGCCUCCUUUUCCUGGAUGUGGAAAUCCGUUUUGUGGCCUUUGCUAAGCCCCAUCUCAUACAACCUCUCAGCAACUGUCAUAAAGCAGAAAACCUUGCAAGGACAUUUCUGCUUAUCUUCCAGUUGAAGAGAGACAAGAGCUGCUGGCCCAAGCGCCAGACCUGAAGGAUGUGGUCCAGCCUCACCUCCGUUUCCCCAUGAAGGUAAUUCGGGGUGAGGAUGGGAACUGCUGCCCCCAGCCUCUUCCUCUCCACACCCAGUUUGAAAGUCAUGCUGUACGUGUACCAGACAGCCAAAGGUGCAUGAGCCCUGUCCCGAGGGAUCAUCCAUCUUGCUGUCGGUGGCUGUGCUGCUCACAUCUGUGCUUCCCCCUGCUUAUGCCAUUAGCUCCGCAGCAUGGCCCAGGAACAAGUGCAGCCGGGGUUUCAGCUCCGCAGGUCACCAGCUGCUGAUAAAUUGCUUUCCUGGAGAUCAAUCGCUUCCCCUUUGCCAUGCAAAACGCCUGGGCUGCCUGCAUGGAACAGUUCUGCCGGACACCGGGGAGAGGUCCCCAUCCGUGGUCAUGCUUGAGACACUCUGAAAAACAGUAAGAAAAUAAGGGCCCCAUGUUCAAACCAAGACAGGGGAAAGGCUGGGGAGGGGGGACGACACCUGGGCACCCCCCUUUUCACUCCUCCUUCCUCUUCCUUUUUGCUCCAGCCUUGCUCUGUGCCUGGAGGUGGACAACAUCCAGGGCAAUGUGUGUUUGGGGCUGUCUAAGAUGCAACAAAGAACCUCCCAUAGGUCUCAAUUAUACAGAUCCUCCCAUUUUAGUUAUUUCCACCCUAAUUAUAAAUAACAAGCUAAGCAGAAAUGUCUUCAUCCAGAAACCUUUAGGCACUGGUUCCCAAUCAUCCAGCUUGGAUUAUCUUCCAAACAGGGUGCUGCAAACUACACCAUCCUUUCCCUGUUGGGUCUACUGCCGUGGUGGUUUCCAGUGACCAUGAGCGAUGCUGGAAGCAAGAACAUCUUGUGGCAAUAUGUUGCCCUUGAACCUUGAGCUGGGAAUCACAGGGUUUAAGGCAUUUGAAAUCUGUGUCUGAAAUUUGUGACUCGUGUCAUGCUCUGACCUGAGAGAAGGGAUGCUUUGAACUGGGGUUGCUCUAUGAGUUAAGCAGAGCAGCCCUCCCGGGACCCACGGUGUCUGGGAGGCAGUGGCCAGCAAUACCCUUCCCAACUCUACGAUCUGGUCCUUCACACCCAGGUAAAUACCAAAACCUCUUAUUUUUUUAAACAGAUGAGCCUCUCUUUGUCUUGGGCUGUGUGUCUGCCCAAAAGUGGGGCCAAGGCUGCUCUCACUCCUGUUUUCCCCGGAGCAAAGGGCCAGGUGAGGGAUGGCCAGUACCAUCCCUGCUAACGGAGCUGCAAAUCCAACCCUCCGGCACUCAGGGCGGCGGAGGCAGGAUGGGCAGGGUUGGGAACAGCAUCUCUUUGGCCACAUGCAUCUCUUCAGCUGCACAGACCACCGAAGACAAAUGAACUGGAGGAAGCAUUUCCUCUGCCGAAGGCUGACACCCGGGAGGUUUCUGUUCACAGUGUAGGUCAAGAGUUGAAAAAUGAAGAAGAAAGGAAAACAGAUAGAAAGAUCCAUCUUCCCUUAUAAAAUCCCCAGAGCAGGGGGCAUUUGGAAGUCAUUUUUCACUGAGCUGAGAGCUGUUUCUGGCCCUUUAGCAGACAUUAUUCUCUUCUCAAACCUCAUAGUUUGGGACACGGGGAAGCACUUGCCCUCCAUCCUCACGGGUGUUGGAAGAGGAGCAUUAUCCUGGGUGCAAGACACCUAGCACCUUCCUCUGAGGCUGGGCUCCACGGUGAUUUGGGCUUUGGGGCAAGGCGGAGCCCAAUGCACGCUGAAAAUUGCUCUGUUCCUCCCCCUAAUGCAUUUGAAAUGCAUUAGGGCUGAGAUGCAAAAAGAAAUGAGUGGCUUGGAUUUGCUGGCAUUAAUGCACAGGUUAAGAGGGACAGCUUUUAAGGGGGAAAACCCAUGCAAGAAGACGAAGGAGAACUUCAGCAUGGUUAAAGGAAAUCUAAAUAAAAUGCCUUUCUGGAAGGAAUUCAAGAAAAUUAUUUUCCUUCUGUGUUUCUGUCUCUCUUCUUCUGGCUUAUAAAAACACCUUGGCUCGGAUAUUACAUCAACCUCUGCCUCUUAUUAAAAACCCCUGCUCCGGUUGUGCAGAUUUCAUGCUGUUACAUGAAAGUAAAAUUUUAUGACCAGAAGCUGAAAUUAGGAAGGAAACUUUUUUUUGUUGUCGUGGGUUGGAUUUUGUUGGUAGUCAUGAGGGUUUGUUUAUUUUUGCUUUUUCUAAAGCACAGCCAACUCCUCCGGGUCUCAGCACUCUGGCCUUUUUGGGGGAUGCUUGUUCCAAACAGGUGCUAACGUGGGGGAAGCUGAGCCCUGGACAGAGCAAGGGGAUGGGUGAUGUCCUCCCUCCGCUACUGUGGUUGCCUUCAAGCAAGCAGGGUUUUCAUGGCUGUUUCAGAAUAGGAUAUAUACAUGAGAGAGCAAAUGCGUUUCAUUGCGUGGGACACAGGUCCUGGGUGUCUGGCCUGGAACAGUCUCGUGUUGUGAGCAUAGUAACCAGUGCGAGCUAUUCCCUCCUCUCAGACUCCUCUGUAAAUCCAGAUCUGAUAGAUGGUAGUUUGGUUUGAGCCCGUACUCAACACCAGUUGCUUGUUGACUGGGUAGUGCCAGCAGACUUUUUUUUUUUUGCCAGCUCUCACUUUAAAUGUAGUACUACUGUUUUUCCAUUAACUCCUCCCUCCCUGCUAAAGAAAACUACGGGAGGAUGAAAAAAUGUUCUAAAAGGUCAUUUGGUCCUUCCUUGUUGGGUGAGCUACAGUGAACCUGAGGAGUUACUACAUCUGAAGAUGUUAAGAGUUGCAUGGGAUUAGAUAAAAAUUAUAGCUAUGAAUUCAGUAUUGGUUUCUUGGGGGACCUUGGCAAGGCAGCUUUGCAUCUCCAGGAUCCAUCACAGCCCCCGUCGCUCCCCAGCCCUUGGGACGGAUUCAAAGACCCCUGGGCUGGUGGGAACAGCCAUGUGGGGCCAGCCCAGCCAGCCCAGCUGUGACUCGAGGCUGGGGACCUCUCCGGGCACAGCUUCUGCUGGAGCACCUUGGGGAUGGAGCAGCCAGAGGACGUUUCGGGGGACUUCAGGGCACGGAUCUCCUCCCCCCGCAGGCCCGGGAGCGGAGCUGGGCUCCUGCUGCAUCCCCGCUCCAGAGACACUCGCCACGGUUGGGAUGGGGGAUGUAGGUCAAGCCCCAUGGCCCCUCCGUUUCCUUCCAGCCCAAAUGUCUGUGCAACCUACUCCUGCCCUUGGAAGAUUUACGGAGCAGCAGGCUGGGAUGCCAGAGGAGGACGCAGCUCAGCAUUCGGAGCCAAAUUAACGCUGCAGAGAUCACCGGUCUGUGGUAGGGAUGUGGAGUGAUCCAGUGCUUUGGUCUGGGGCCACCUUGAGUCUGAGGCCGAAACUAAACACUCGUAGGCUCUGUGGAGGUGAAACCACCUGCGUCAAAUGCCAAAAUCUGCUUUUGCUGUGUGGCUGGUGACGUGUCAGGCUCUUGAAAGAGGUGUUGCAUCCUAGCUACCUGAAGGCUGAUCCCAGAUGCAGAGGUGAUGGGGGAACUAGGUCAAGAACAAGAGGCAAGAUAGUGAUUUUGGUCUUCAGCUGUUUGUGCAAAGACCUUCGUCAAGGCCAGGUUUUGACAGACUGGACUGACGCUGUCAUGUUGUGACACCAAACCAUUUCUCGGUCACGAGUGGAUUUUUAUCUUCCCAGUGCCCGCUGGAGGUCGGGAACGGGUACAAGCUCCAUCGGUGGUCACCUGAGGUUCUCACAGAGAAUCUGGGAGCAGACCUUGCAUGGCAUUCAAUCUGCUAGACCAGGCUUUCCAACCCCUCCUGGCCCCGUUACCUUAAACCUGCCCAAUCUGGGAUACAUCCAUGCCAAAGAGGGACAGCAGCAAGCCCAGGGCAGGAUCUGGCCAGCGAGGGGCUGCCUCCUUCCCCCCUCCGCCUGCACACAUCUCCAUUUUUUAGGCAUUGCAACAGUUGAAAAAUGAACUUUGUGUCCAUUUUAUCAUAAAAGAUCCGGGGCUUUUUAAGCCCAGCUUUAUAAACAGUGAUGAAAGGUCCUGCAACGGGCAGAGGUCUGCUUUUGAAAUUGAACAAAUUGUCGUUUUAUGGUUCCCGUGUGUGGGGGGUGCUGUAAAUCUCCGAGCAUUUAACGCAUCUGUUCUUUUCCAACCACGCUACCAGCGUCUCAAGGAGGAGAGGGAGAAAUAUCUGACAUUUCCUGACAUCGGCUGCUCUCAUGGCCCCUGGGAGUUCCUCAGGAAAGUUUUUAAAGUAAUAUUUAUGGAUGAUCAUGGUGAAUCAGGCCCUAAAAGGUACAGAGAAAGGACUGUUGUUCAUUAACAUUUGGAAACUGUGCACUGUGGAUUUCCCUGUGGAGGGGCAAAAGAAAUGGAGUGAAAGUGAAAUAGCUUUCGAGUUAAUCCAGAUCUUUUUUAACAUUAUUGUUGUUGGUAAAAAUCGGAACCUUAUUUUGGAUG